rnacentral:rRNA from 1 species
GAUGAACGCUGGCGGCGUGCCUAAUACAUGCAAGUCGAGCGAACAGAUAAGGAGCUUGCUCCCUUGACGUUAGCGGCGGACGGGUGAGUAACACGUGGGUAACCUACCUAUAAGACUGGAAUAACUCCGGGAAACCGGGGCUAAUGCCGGAUAACAUUUAGAACCGCAUGGUUCUAAAGUGAAAGAUGGUUUUGCUAUCACUUAUAGAUGGACCCGCGCCGUAUUAGCUAGUUGGUAAGGUAACGGCUUACCAAGGCAACGAUACGUAGCCGACCUGAGAGGGUGAUCGGCCACACUGGAACUGAGACACGGUCCAGACUCCUACGGGAGGCAGCAGUAGGGAAUCUUCCGCAAUGGGCGAAAGCCUGACGGAGCAACGCCGCGUGAGUGAUGAAGGUCUUCGGAUCGUAAAACUCUGUUAUUAGGGAAGAACAAAUGUGUAAGUAACUGUGCACGUCUUGACGGUACCUAAUCAGAAAGCCACGGCUAACUACGUG